rfam:Schistosoma margrebowiei strain Zambia genome assembly, scaffold: SMRZ_contig0000732
AUUCAUCUGACGAGUCCUGAAUAGUACGAAACACUCGUCCUGGAU